GCUACAUGAGCAGUGAUGAGUGGGAGAUCAGCAAGACUCAAAGCAAGUUCAAGGAAUAGCUGUUUUAAGUGCUGGAACCCUGCAGGGUUGACACUUCCACCAAAGAUGUGGUUUGCCACUGUUACUCAAGUUAUAUAACACAGAGUUCUUUCACUUCAUGGGUUCGACCAAUCCAAUGGAUGGUGAUUGCUGACUCAGAUAAAAGAGUUCCCUGGGAGAAAAUCAAUCACAAAGAUUGCUGGAAUUUCCUUGUGGAAUUUAUGGUUACUCACAUUUUCUGGCUUUGAGAUUCUCCUGACUGUGCUCCCUGAUCUCUGAAUUGGCCUUGACGUGUUCUAGACUUUAAUCUUCUCAGUUUAACUAUUUGGAUUAUAGGAGCUGCAUUUAAGUUGGAAUGUUUCCUGGCGGCCCGUGUUGCUCCUCAAGACAUUCUGAGUCCACCACCUGGAAGAGGACUGCUGCGUAUGAUUGUGUUGUUUGUGUUCUUUGGACAAGUGCAAGCCGUGUUACUGAAGAAGUAUGCAAUAGCAGAAAGAAGACAGGACAAAUGUCAGGAGACUCGUGCCCAGAGGGGCUGUGAAACUUUGGACUAGCAAUUUAGCUCCUCUCAGAUGAGAAGAUCAUUGCCCGAAAGAUAAAAUAAUUUGCACAAAAUGGAGAGUGGAACUAGAAUCCAGAAACCCUAACUCCAAGUCCAGUUAUUAUAUUGGCAUACAUGCUAUGUGAUACGUUUUCCUUUCCAUUCCAGUCUCCAAAACCAAUAACCAUCGUGUGCAGUGACCCCAUCUACGAGAGCAUCAGGGCCCCAUGCUCAGAAGAUGUCCUGUGUUUGAGGUUUAAUGC
rnacentral:lncRNA from 1 species